rnacentral:lncRNA from 10 species
UCCAGCCUGGGCAACAAGAGCGAAACUCCAUCUCAAAACAAAAAAAGGAAGAAAGAAAGAAGAAAAAAAGAAAAGAAAAGAAAGGUCUAGUCAUGAAUUUGAAGAUGAACAUGCCACACUGUAGCUCUAAAUUGGUAUUAUCUUUCUAGAAAACUAUUUUCCAAUGUGUAUCAAAAGGCUUAUAUAAAAGGGUUUUGUUUUGUUUUGUUUUGCCCUUUGUCAAUAAUAAUACAUCUAUUUCUUCAUCUCUGCAACUUGCUAGGCAAAAGAUCAUGUUAAUCUAGACUUUUAGCUAUUAAUAAAUAUUAUUUUGCAAAUCUUUGAUUCAAUAUUAAGCUCUUGUUGUCCGGGCUGGAGGGCAGUGGCGCAAUCUCGGCUCACUGCAACCUCUGCCUUCCGGUUUCAAGCGAUUCUCCUGCCUCAGCCUCCUGAGUAGCGGGAAUUACAGGCGCCUGCCACCACGCCUGGCUAAUUUUUUUGUAUUUUUAGUAGAAAGGGGGUUUCACCAUGCUGGCCAGGCUGGUCUCGAACUCUUGAGCUCGUGAUCUGCCUGCCUCAGCCUCCCAAAGUGCUGGGAUUACAGGCGUGAGCCACCGUGCCUGGCCAGUGGAUGGCAAAAUUUCUAUAG